ACUCCUACGGGAGGCAGCAGUGGGGAAUAUUGCACAAUGGGCGCAAGCCUGAUGCAGCCAUGCCGCGUGUAUGAAGAAGGCCUUCGGGUUGUAAAGUACUUUCAGCAGUGAGGAAGGUGGGUAGUGUUAAUAGCAUACUCAUUUGUACGUUAGCUGCAGAAGAAGCACCGGCUAACUCCGUGCCAGCAGCCGCGGUAAUACGGAGGGUGCGAGCGUUAAUCGGAAUUACUGGGCGUAAAGCGCAUGCAGGUGGUUUGUUAAGUCAGAUGUGAAAGCCCGGGGCUCAACCUCGGAAUUGCAUUUGAAACUGGCAAACUAGAGUACUGUAGAGGGGGUAGAAUUUCAGGUGUAGCGUGAAAUGCGUAGAGAUCUGAAGGAAUACCGGUGGCGAAGGCGGCCCCUGGACAGAUACUGACACUCAGAUGCGAAAGCGUGGGAGCAAACAGGAUUAGAUACCCCGUGUA
rnacentral:rRNA from 1 species